UACGAAGGGGGCUAGCGUUGCUCGGAAUCACUGGGCGUAAAGGGUGCGUAGGCGGGUCUUUAAGUCAGGGGUGAAAUCCUGGAGCUCAACUCCAGAACUGCCUUUGAUACUGAAGAUCUUGAGUUCGGGAGAGGUGAGUGGAACUGCGAGUGUAGAGGUGAAAUUCGUAGAUAUUCGCAAGAACACCAGUGGCGAAGGCGGCUCACUGGCCCGAUACUGACGCUGAGGCACGAAAGCGUGGGGAGCCAAA
rnacentral:rRNA from 1 species